GAUGAACGCUGGCGGCGUGCCUAAUACAUGCAAGUCGAGCGAGCGGACGAGAAGCUUGCUUCUCUGAUGUUAGCGGCGGACGGGUGAGUAACACGUGUAUAACCUACCUAUCAGACUGGUAUAACUUCGGGAAACCGGCGCUAAUACCGUAUAAUAUUUUGCUCCGCAUUAUUCAAAAGUGAAAGACGGUCUUUCUGUCUCUUCUCGCUGGUUCCGCGCUGCUUUAGCUAGUUGUUACGGUAACGGCUUACCAAGGCAACCAUGCAUAGCCGACCUGAGAGGGUGAUAGGCCACACGGGAAGGGGAACAGGGUCCAGACGCCUAAGGGAGGCAGCAGUAGGGAAUCUUCCGCAAUGGGCGAAAGCCUGACGGAGCAAGGCCGCGUGAGAGAUGAAGGUCUUCGGAUCGUAAAACUCUGUUAUUAGGGAAGAACAGAUGUGUAAGUAACUGUGCACAGCUUGACGGUACCUAAUCAGAAAGCAACGGCUAACUACGUG
rnacentral:rRNA from 1 species